UUAACCAGCAUUUUUGCCAUUUCACACAUUAUUUUCUUCCCUCUCAGGCUGAGGGAACUGAGCUGACAAAGACCCACAACUGGCUGCUCUGUCCAAAGGAGAAGCUUUGACAGAGGAAAUAAACAUACAACUCCCUGAGAACAUGAUUGAAGGAUCUGCCCGUGCUUCACUCUCUGUCCUCGGAGAAGCUUUGACAGAGGAAAUAAACAUACAACUCCUGAGAACAUGAUUGAAGGAUCUGCCCGUGCUUCACUCUCUGUCCUCGGUAACUAGCCGUAGUCUUUCUUUAACUAGUCAGAUUCAGACAGGUUAACAGACUUACCUCCCUCAUUAUGAAGGGCUUCAGUAAUACAAUUGCACUUGUGUAUAAAAACCAUUGCACUUUGCACUUUGCAGUCCAUUCUCAGUGUAUGUGUCCUGCAUGAAGUGAGUCAG